rnacentral:rRNA from 1 species
CCAAUAGCGUAUAUUAAAGUUGUUGCAGUUAAAAAGCUCGUAGUUGAAUUUCGGGGUUAGCAGGUUGGUCAUGCCUCUGGUAUGUACUGGUCUCACUGAUUCCUCCUUCCUGAUGAACCGUAAUGCCAUUAAUUUGGUGUUGCGGGGAAUCUGGACUGUUACUUUGAAAAAAUUAGAGUGUUUAAAGCAAGCUAACGCUUGAAUACAUUAGCAUGGAAUAAUGAAAUAGGACGUUCGAUCCUAUUUUGUUGGUUUCUAGGAUUGACGUAAUGAUUAAUAGGGAUAGUUGGGGGCAUUAGUAUUCAAUUGUCAGAGGUGAAAUUCUUGGAUUUAUUGAAGACUAACUACUGCGAAAGCAUUUGCCAAGGAUGUUUUCAUUAAUCAAGAACGAAAGUUAGGGGAUCGAAGACGAUCAGAUACCGUCGUAGUCUUAACCAUAAACUAUGCCGACUAGGGAUCGGAUGAUGUUAAUUUUUUAAUGACUCAUUCGGCGCCUUACG